CACGUAGGGCGCAAGCGUUGUCCGGAAUUAUUGGGCGUAAAGAGCUCGUAGGCGGUCUGUUGCGUCCGCUGUGAAAACUCGGGGCUUAACCCCGAGCCUGCAGUGGAUACGGGCAGACUAGAGGUAGGUAGGGGAGAAUGGAAUUCCCGGUGUAGUGGUGAAAUGCGUAGAGAUCGGGAGGAACACCAGUGGCGAAGGCGGCCGGCUGGGGGUGACCUGACGCUGAGGCGCGAAAGCGUGGGGAGCGAACCGG
rnacentral:rRNA from 1 species